rnacentral:rRNA from 1 species
UACGAAGGGUGCAAGCGUUACUCGGAAUUACUGGGCGUAAAGCGUGCGUAGGCGGUUUGUUAAGUCUGUCGUGAAAGCCCCGGGCUCAACCCGGGAACUGCGUCCGAUACUGGAAGGCUUGAAUCCGGGAGAGGGAUGCGGAAUUCCAGGUGUAGCGGUGAAAUGCGUAGAUAUCUGGAGGAACACCGGUGGCGAAGGCGGCAUCCUGGACCGGUAUUGACGCUGAGGCGCGAAAGCCAGGGGAGCAAACGGG